rnacentral:rRNA from 1 species
UACGGAGGGUGCAAGCGUUGUCCGGAUUUAUUGGGUUUAAAGGGUGCGUAGGCGGCCCGUUAAGUCAGCGGUGAAAUCCCGGGGCUCAACCCCGGAACUGCCGUUGAUACUGGCGGGCUUGAGUUCGGUGAAGGCGGGCGGAACUGGCGGUGUAGCGGUGAAAUGCUUAGAUACCGCCAAGAACCCCGAUUGCGUAGGCAGCUCGCUGUGCCGAAAAUGACGCUGAGGCACGAAAGCGUGGGGAGCGAACAGG